AUUAAAAUAAUGAUAAGUGCUAUGAAUAAAAUAUUAAUUUAUGCAUUAUUUAGCACUUAUCACACCCCUCAACCUACAUUUUGCUAGUCCUCAAGCAAAAUAAUAGAAAAGAAAUUAACUCACUUUCGCAGGAAUCGCGAUUGCACUUAGCACGUGCAACAAGCCGUUAAACCCCUAGAUUACCCUAGUGGACGAGUGUUGUCUCGUGAAGGUUUUCAGGGAUGUUAUCCACAAACAUCAUGAAUUAUAUGACACGAGAUUCUAAUAA
rnacentral:lncRNA from 1 species